UCCCAUAUUGUCUAGUGGUAAGGAUACUUAGCUCUCACCCAGGAGACCCGGGUUCAAUUCCCGGUAUGGGAA
rnacentral:tRNA from 1 species